rnacentral:tRNA from 3 species
GGGCGCGUGGCUCAGUGGUAGAGCACCUGCUUGACACGCAGGGGGUCGCUGGUUCGAUCCCAGCCGUGCCCA